UACGGAGGGGGCUAGCGUUAUUCGGAAUCAUUGGGCGUAAAGGGCGCGUAGGCGGCCUUCUAAGUCAGAUGUGAAAUCCCCCGGCUUAACCUGGGAACUGCGUCUGAUACUGGGAGGCUAGAGUAUGGGAGAGGGAUGUAGAAUUCCAGGUGUAGCGGUGAAAUGCGUAGAUAUCUGGAGGAAUACCGGUGGCGAAGGCGGCAUCCUGGACCAUUACUGACGCUGAACCGCGAAAGCUAGGGGAGCAAACGGG
rnacentral:rRNA from 1 species